rnacentral:rRNA from 1 species
GACGAACGCUGGCGGCGUGCCUAACACAUGCAAGUCGAACGGGACUAAGACCGACACCGGAGAUCCAGUUGGCCGGUGGGGACACGGGCCGGGUGAAUGGCCGGUGUUGGGCUUAGUUCAGUGGCGGACGGGUGAGUAACGCGUGAGGAACCUGCCUUUCAGAGCGGGAUAGCGUCUGGAAACGGACGGUAAUACCGCAUGACAUUCCGGAGCCGCAUGGUUUUGGGAUCAAAGGAGCAAUCCGCUGGGAGAUGGACUCGCGUCCGAUUAGCCGGUUGGCGGGGUAACGGCCCACCAAAGCAACGAUCGGUAGCCGGACUGAGAGGUUGAACGGCCACAUUGGGACUGAGACACGGCCCAGACUCCUACGGGAGGCAGCAGUGGGGGAUAUUGCACAAUGGAGGAAACUCUGAUGCAGCAACGCCGCGUGAGGGAAGACGGUCUUCGGAUUGUAAACCUAUGUCCUCGGUGACGAUAAUGACGGUAGCCGAGGAGGAAGCUCCGGCUAACUACGUGCCAGCAGCCGCGGUAAUACGUAGGGAGCGAGCGUUGUCCGGAUUUACUGGGUGUAAAGGGUGCGUAGGCGGCUUUUUAAGUCAGGUGUGAAAACCGUGGGCUUAACUCACGGAUUGCAUUUGAAACUGAGGGGCUUGAGUGGAGCAGAGGCAGGCGGAAUUCCCGGUGUAGCGGUGAAAUGCGUAGAGAUCGGGAGGAACACCAGUGGCGAAAGGCGGCCUGCUGGGCUUUAACUGACGCUGAGGCACGAAAGCAUGGGUAGCAAACAGGAUUAGAUACCCUGGUAGUCCAUGCCGUAAACGAUGAUUACUAGGUGUGGGUGGUCUGACCCCAUCCGUGCCGGAGUUAACACAAUAAGUAAUCCACCUGGGGAGUACGACCGCAAGGUUGAAACUCAAAGGAAUUGACGGGGGCCCGCACAAGCAGUGGAGUAUGUGGUUUAAUUCGAAGCAACGCGAAGAACCUUACCAGGUCUUGACAUCUACCCGAUCCUUCAGAAAUGAGGGAGUGCCCUUCGGGGAAAGGUAAGACAGGUGGUGCAUGGUUGUCGUCAGCUCGUGUCGUGAGAUGUUGGGUUAAGUCCCGCAACGAGCGCAACCCUUAUGAUUAGUUGCUACGCAAGAGCACUCUAAUCAGACUGCCGUUGACAAAACGGAGGAAGGUGGGGACGACGUCAAAUCAUCAUGCCCCUUAUGUCUUGGGCUACACACGUGCUACAAUGGCCGGUACAAAGGGCUGCAAUACCGUAAGGUGGAGCGAAUCCCAUAAAGCCGGUCUCAGUUCGGAUCGUGGGCUGCAACCCGCCCACGUGAAGCCGGAGUUGCUAGUAAUCGCGAAUCAGCAUGUCGCGGUGAAUGCGUUCCCGGGUCUUGUACACACCGCCCGUCACACCAUGGGAGUUGGGAGCGCCCGAAGCCAGUGGGCUAACCAGUAAUGGAGGCAGCUGUCGAAGGCGAGAUCAAUGACUGGGGUG